AUUGAACGCUGGCGGCAGGCCUAACACAUGCAAGUCGAACGGUAACAGGAAUCAGCUUGCUGAUUCGCUGACGAGUGGCGGACGGGUGAGUAAUGUCUGGGAAACUGCCUGAUGGAGGGGGAUAACUACUGGAAACGGUAGCUAAUACCGCAUAAUGUCGCAAGACCAAAGAGGGGGACCUUCGGGCCUCUUGCCAUCGGAUGUCCCCAGAUGGGAUUAGCUAGUAGGUGGGGUAACGGCUCACCUAGGCGACGAUCCCUAGCUGGUCUGAGAGGAUGACCAGCCAAACUGGAACUGAGACACGGUCCAGACUCCUACGGGAGGCAGCAGUGGGGAAUAUUGCACAAUGGGCGCAAGCCUGAUGCAGCCAUGCCGCGUGUAUGAAGAAGGCCUUCGGGUUGUAAAGUACUCUCAGCGGGGAGGAAGGGAGUAAAGUUAAUACCUUUGCUCAUUGACGUUACCCGCAGAAGAAGCACCGGCUAACUCCGUGCCAGCAGCCGCGGUAA
rnacentral:rRNA from 1 species